UGUAGGUGAACUGAGGGGAGUUGUUCUGUCCCUAGAUACAGGUCCAGUUGUUUGUAUGUUAUUAGUUGACAUUGCAUUCUUUUUACCUGUCUUAUAAUUCAUUUACUUUAUUAUUGUGUGGCAACAGCACCAUCUACUGACCAGUUCAGAAUUGCAUUUAGUCUCGUUUUUGCAAUGUAUUGUGGGAGCCUCCAGAGGUAUUGUGGGAACUUCCUGCUUCUUCUCCUCAGUCCUGUCUUAUACAGCAUGCAGUCACCAUCUUGUCUCAGGAGCCUAAUCCUCAUCCCUUGGUUCCUACCUCAUCAGCCAGUUAUUGAGCCUGUUUUCAAGCAUAGUCGUUUCACCGCUUUCCUGUCAUUCUACUAUCAAUAAAAGAGGAAGUUAAAGCAGUACAAUUUCUUCUCUUCUUGAAUACGGGAUCGGUUUAGCUACAUGUCAGAUUACACACCGUGCUAACGUGUAUGAGGACAGUAUAGUGAAACGACUGCUGAGAAUAAGCUCAGACGAUUAGACUAUACGGAGCCCGCCAUUAUCCACGCAGGGCCUACAUACGGAUAUCGCAGCAGUCUCCUAACAGUCACAACACGGAGCCCACCAUUAUCCACGCAGAGCCUGCAUACGGAUGUCGCAGCGGUCUCCUAACAGUCGCAACAUGUCUAGUAGUCGGGCAUCUUCACUCAAGACAAGGUCUCAGAUAAGUGGCUCUAGCAGGACAUCAAUCAGAGAAGCCGCCGCCAUUGCCCGUGCAAAGGCAGAAGCUGCAAAGGCAAAAUCCAGCUUCACAGAACAAGAGAUG